rnacentral:rRNA from 1 species
CCUGGCGGCCUUAGCGCGGUGGUCCCACCUGACCCCAUGCCGAACUCAGAAGUGAAACGCCGUAGCGCCGAUGGUAGUGUGGGUCCCCCAUGCGAGAGUAGGGAACUGCCAGGC